rnacentral:rRNA from 1 species
UACAGGGGGGGCAAGCGUUGUUCGGAAUUACUGGGCGUAAAGGGCUCGUAGGCGGCCAACUAAGUCCGACGUGAAAUCCCCAAGCUUAACUUGGGAACUGCGUCGGAUACUGGAUGGCUUGAAUUCGGGAGAGGGAUGCAGAAUUCCAGGUGUAGCGGUGAAAUGCGUAGAUAUCUGGAGGAAUACCGGUGGCGAAGGCGGCAUCCUGGACCGACAUUGACGCUGAGGCGCGAAAGCCAGGGGAGCAAACGGG